rnacentral:rRNA from 1 species
UUAGAGUUUGAUCCUGGCUCAGGACGAACGCUGGCGGCGUGCCUAAUACAUGCAAGUCGAACGAGGCUUUUUGAUUGAUGCUUGCAUCAGCUAAAAAGCCGAGUGGCGAAUGGGUGAGUAACACGUGGGUAACCUGCCUUGAAGCGGGGGAUAACAUUUGGAAACAGAUGCUAAUACCGCAUAACCACAAAAACCUCCUGGUUUUUGUGUCAAAGACGGUUCUGCUAUCACUUCAAGAUGGACCCGCGGCGUAUUAGCUUGUUGGUGAGGUAACGGCUCACCAAGGCAAUGAUACGUAGCCGAACUGAGAGGUUGAUCGGCCACAUUGGGACUGAGACACGGCCCAAACUCCUACGGGAGGCAGCAGUAGGGAAUCUUCCACAAUGGACGCAAGUCUGAUGGAGCAACGCCGCGUGAGUGAAGAAGGUCUUCGGAUCGUAAAACUCUGUUGUCAGAGAAGAACGUGCGUGAGAGCAACUGUUCAUGCAGUGACGGUAUCUGACCAGAAAGUCACGGCUAACUACGUGCCAGCAGCCGCGGUAAUACGUAGGUGGCAAGCGUUGUCCGGAUUUAUUGGGCGUAAAGGGAACGCAGGCGGUCUUUUAAGUCUGAUGUGAAAGCCUUCGGCUUAACCGAAGUCGUGCAUUGGAAACUGGGGGACUUGAGUGCAGAAGAGGAGAGUGGAACUCCAUGUGUAGCGGUGAAAUGCGUAGAUAUAUGGAAGAACACCAGUGGCGAAAGCGGCUCUCUGGUCUGUAGCUGACGCUGAGGUUCGAAAGCGUGGGUAGCAAACAGGAUUAGAUACCCUGGUAGUCCACGCCGUAAACGAUGAAUGCUAAGUGUUUGGAAGGGUUUCCGCCCUUCAGUGCCGCAGCUAACGCAUUAAGCAUUCCGCCUGGGGGAGUACGAUCGCAAGAUUGAAACUCAAAGGAAUUGACGGGGGCCGCACAAGCGGGGGAAGCAUGUGGUUUAAUUCGAAGCAACGCGAAGAACCUUACCAGGUCUUGACAUCUUUUGCCAGGUUGA